rnacentral:rRNA from 1 species
GACGAACGCUGGCGGCGUGCCUAAUACAUGCAAGUAGAACGCACAGUUUAUACCGUAGCUUGCUACACCAUAGACUGUGAGUUGCGAACGGGUGAGUAACGCGUAGGUAACCUGCCUGGUAGCGGGGGAUAACUAUUGGAAACGAUAGCUAAUACCGCAUAAUAUUAAUUAUUGCAUGAUAAUUAAUUGAAAGGUGCAAUUGCACCACUACCAGAUGGACCUGCGUUGUAUUAGCUAGUAGGGGAGGUAACGGCUCACCUAGGCGACGAUACAUAGCCGACCUGAGAGGGUGAUCGGCGACACUGGGACUUAGACACGGCCCAGACUACUACGGGAAGCAGCAGUAGGGAAUCUUCGGCAAUGGACGACAGUCUGACCGAGCAACGCCGCGUGAGUGAAGAAGGUUUUCGGAUCGUAAAGCUCUGUUGUAAGAGAAGAACGGGUGUGAGAGUGGAAAGUUCACACUGUGACGGUAUCUUACCAGAAAGGGACGGCUAACUACGUG